AUGGUGUUGUUUGAGACACCCUCGGGCUUUGCAAUUUUCUAUUUUGACGGGAUCAGCCUCUACGAACCAGAUGCCAUGGAGAAUAUAUGGGCGCACUUCGUCACGGAAUAUAGGGCAAGCCAUGUCAUUUGGCGAAAAGACUUUCAAGUUUUUAAGGACAAGUCUGAUGCCAUUAACCAUGAUAGUGGUCUUAACAAUCAGCUUACUAACAUGCUCUUGAAGUGGUACCAACCUGGGCAGAAACUUGCUGUUGGCAAGAUUGAAUAUAAAAUAGUCAUUGAAGCAAACUUGGGAAUAUCCUGCCUGUUUGAUGAACCUGUAAUGGAGCUGAUGCGUGGGCUGAACUAUCUCAUGCAUAGUGUAGUUCCUGAAGAAAAAUCAAAGCUAGCCGAGGAGCACUGCCUCCAGACGAGUCAAGGGCUGAAAAUGCUCCUUCAUCGUUAUGGCUUUGAUAUAAAACCGGAGAUGGUUAAUGAUUGCAUUAUUGUGACAGCAUGCAACUUAUAUGAUUCUGAUUGUUGUUUAAAGAAUCAAUUUAAGAGUUUGCGCCUUGCUAGUCACUUCCUUCAGGAUGUGUCAUCCAUUAAUUUUCAAGACUGGGACAUAUUGAAACUUGCAACAGCUCUGAAGAUGGUAUGUUACCCUGAAGACGAUAUCUUGUUUGGUAAUCCUGAUGAGAUGUUUUCAACAGAUGAGUUAUCAAAGUUAGUGGCUGAUGCACAUAAAUACGAAGACAGUGGGAUCAUUAAAGGAGCUAUUUUGAGGCUCUAUAAUUUAGUGGUGUAUCUCCUUAAUUGUAAGGCAAAGUAUCAGAGGAGAUUGGCCUCCUUCGUCAAGGAGGCUAAAGAAUCAUAUGAAGCUGAGCAAGUUGUUAGAGAGAGGGGUUCCCUUCGAACUGAUGCUUUUGAAGCGGACAUACAAGUUGGGGUACAAAUGGUUGCAGGAUAA
rnacentral:rRNA from 1 species